GACAGUUGAUUAACUGUCACUCUGGAUUUGAGAGAGGGAGGAGACAGGUUUAUUUGUGAGUCAUCUUGAACCCAUCCAUCAAACAACUGGCCUUGAGGAUUUUCUAGUUGUGGUGAAAGAAUAACUCCAGUCUUCCUGGUGGACAGCCAGACUGGGGAAAAGAUCUUUACCCUGCUGGGACAUCUGAGGACAUCAGCUGGACUCCUGUUUUUGGCUCACCAAGUACUCUUUGUCACAUCUUACCAUAAGAUUAUAGAUUUAAAGUUGAAAGGCACUAACAAGGUCUGCUAGAAUAACAUAUGAAGAAACUGAGGCCCAGGAUUUGCCAAAUAAGUGAUUUGCCCAAGAUCACAGGGUUUAUCCCACAUCAAAAUGUACUGGAUCCUGGAGCCCAAUAGUGUCAAACUCAAAUUGAAACACGGGUCACCAAACCAUACAUAAGGAUCCUUGUCUUUCACAUGUUAACUUAGUUAAAAGCACA
rnacentral:lncRNA from 1 species